AAAGGCAUGAAACAGGCAUGAAGGAUUUAGUGUGUGAACCAGCGGAGAUUUUGAAAAAAUUGAAGAGCACCAACAAGGUAAAAACAUGCCUUUGAGGCUAGGCUCAAGUGGUAAAGGGACAUAAAGUGUUUCGGGGAGGUUCCAAGUUCAAUUCCCAAUGGGAACCAAAAAUUUACCUAUAAAAAAAAAGGUAAAAACAUUUGAAUAUACUUGGUGGAAUUUCUGUAGCCAUGAACAUUUAUGUCUUGUCUAGCCAUGAUUCUGCAGUUUCUGUAUUUAUCUUCUUUCAACUUCUUUAAUUCAUAAACUUGUGGAUAUAAUAUUUCUUAUAGUGAUUUUUUUUCCCAUUAAACAACUGAAGAAAAAUAUGUGACCAUGAAAAAUGAAAGGAAUCUAAAACGCUGGAGAUUUGGCUAAAAACGAUGGGAAGAAUCGAAUGUUGAAAAGCUCUGCAGCCCACAGGGUGGUUUCACAUUAGAGGAAAACCUUUAUUCUUCCCUUGCGAAUCAAGAAUCUAUCAAGUACAUAUCGGCUCAGAAUUAUCCCUUAGCAACUUUCCAUGAUAAUAUGGAAUAUUUGUUUGAAAGUCGUCAUGUAAAAAGGAUUGGUGGAGAUUUUUACCUGUUUCAAUGUUUUUUUUCAUGCCGUGAACCUUGUCAAGCAUAUUAAUUAUACGUCUUGAAAUCAUUGAAAACAGGGUGUGUCUCAAUUCUCAAAUGAAGUUAAAGAGAAAAUCCUGAAAAAUUAGACAUAAAGUGUAUUCAUUUAACAAAACAUGGAUCAAAAUGAGAAAGUAGUUUGAUGGGUGGGUUUCUUUUUGGAGUUGUCAAUAACAAGGAAGGAACAACAGAUAAUUUCAUAAUUGAUGUGUGAAAACUCUUUAAAGAAAAGCUAAUUUAAAAAUAAAGUAACGUUAAGAAGUUUAAAAACAUUUGGUAUGGAAAAAGGAUAGAUGCUUUUACGUGAUAGAGCGGAAGACCAAUUUAUCGUGGCUUGCCUUUUAUAACAAUUCUGCCAAUAUUCUCUUUUACAAAGUGGGGCUUAGACAUGGCUCAGACCCAUCCAUGCAUCAAAGAAAAGUCAAUAGCAUUUAGUUUUGAUUCUUUGGUAUUUAUGCGUUCUGGUUUCUCCUCUUUUUCUUUUCUUUUCUUGUGGAAUGCAACUGGGUUUUUAUUCCUCAAGAUGGGCAGUCAUGAACCCAAAAAAAUUGUCUUCCCUUUUAGCCUUUGGAGAUGCUAUAUAUAUAUAUAUACACACAUAUGUAUAGAAGACCCAAAUCAUAACCAAAUAACAUCAUUCCAUCGGUUAACAAACUCCAUUUUUUGCUUCCUCGAUGUCUUCGACAACUCCUCAUCACGAUGCAGAAGAACCCCCCCAGUUGCAGUCGAAGGAUGGCAAGUUGAUGGCUACGUUUAAUCCCAGACAGCUGAACGUUAUCUGGGGCAGAGACCCCCGCUACUGGAAGAUGCCAGAAAAGAACAGCGGCGGUCCUGCAGAACUAUUGCAGGUAUGCUGGCUUGAAGUGAGCGGCAGUGUCCCCAUACGCAGCGCACCAAUUGGAACCAAGUUCAAAAUUACCUUCCAAGUAUCCUUCAAAUCCGAUGCAUUUGGAUGGAAUAACUGUCCCGUUUAUGUGAUGGCUAAGUUUGGGAAGAAAGGAAAGUACACGUGGACGAAAAUAUCGCUGCGUACUGACAAUUCACAGCCAACCAAUAUCCUCCCACCUGACGGCCUGGAGAUUGUAACCAAAGAGGCUACAACCGCAAAUGUAAAUGAUACCAUUUACUUUGGCCUAUAUGAAGUAUGGAGUGGGAAGUGGAAGGGAGGAUUAGAACUUCAUAAUGCCAUGGUUGAACAAAUCAAUAAUAAAUAGUAAUGCGCGGCAGUGCCCAGAAAACAUUAAUAUGUGUUUGUGUGUGGGUCUGUGUGCAGCUUGCAGCUUGCACAUUCAAGAGUAUGGCUUAUAUCAUAGGUAUUAAGGAUGCUGAAUAAAAGGGUAAAAAUGCUGCUACUCAUUCGAAUUCUCAUUUGCUGAAAUCAUUGCCACCACAACCAGUUUUUCUUAUAUGUGGCUUCUUCUAGGAAUGAUUUCAUCUUUUGGGUAUUUGGACUGCAGAGCACUUUUCAUAAAUAAAAGUAUAAAACAAGUUGCUGGUUACUCUCUGCCUCUGGAAUAUUGUUGUAUUAUGUAUUAUGUAUUAAAUCAUUAAGCUAAUAAAGUUUACUUUCUUAGGUUUCCAUAUCAUACUUCACUUUGCUUUUGCCUCUUCUUUCCUUCAAAAUUUAUUAACUGCUCAAUACAGAUCCGAAUUCCUCCUCUGUCUCUUAGGUCUUGUUUGAGAUAGCUUCUUGCUUCUCUGGUUAAAAGCAGUACACUGAGGCCAAUGUCACAAAUUUUAAAAUACAAUAUUAAAAUUGUAAAAGUUUUAUUAAUCAUGAAACAACUUCUUAUCACAAUGAUAUUUAAGUUGUGAAAAUAGAGUCUGUUAAACUUACAAAGAAAAUAAUAAUAAUAAUAAAGCCCCUUUGGCUUCUAAGAGAUCGAUCCAAAAAAUGCCUACUUGAAGAAGAAAUAAAAAGGGAUCUAAGAAGAAAUAAAAAUUGUAGCCAUGAUUCUAUAGAUUUUGAUCCAUUAAUAUUUAGUUUGAGUGUUUUAGAAUUUUGGUCAAUUAAUUUAGUUAAUCACAUGUUAUUGUUUUCGUGUUUUAAGUUUAGUAAUUUUAUUUUUGAUCUAUUAAUAUUUAGUUUGAGCUUUUUGGAAGCUAAUCAACAUAGUUAAUUACAUAUUAUUGUUUUCAUAUUUUCAAGUUUGUUAAACUUUGGUUUUUGAUUCAUCAUAUUUUGUCAUAGUGUUAAUUUACUUUAAUUGAUCCCAUGCUAUUAUCUCUAUAUGUUAAGAUUGUUAAUUUUGAUUCUUCAUUGGUUUUUUUUUUUUAUCUUAAUUCAUGCGCUUCUUGAAUUCUAGAUGUUAGCUUUGGAUAAUAUUUUGUUAGCUUGUUUGAUUUGGAAGUCAUUAGUUUGCUGCCUUAGUAAUUGUUAGUCCAAUCUCCUUUUUUUAGAGGCUAUUGGAAAAUCAUGAAAAUUGACCUCUACCCUCACCAUUAUCAUUUUUGUUGAUUACUAAAAAAAUUUACUUUGUGAUUUCGUUUUCUUUUGUUUCGUUUAGAAUUUUGUUUCUUAAGUUCCGUUGUUUUUUAAAUUAAUUUCUUUUAUUCUAAAGCAAAACAUUUUUCUCAAAAGAUCCCCUUGAAAAUCUAUUUAAAAAAAAAUUCAUUUAGAGUCCAUAGAAUUAAAAUCUCAUUUUUUUUAAAUAAUAUGCAACCAUCUCUUGAUUGGUUUGCAUAUUUCUCGGUUUUCAAUGAAAGUUAUGGUUUUGAGUAAGACACAAAUCCAGGCUUGUGGUUCCAAACAGAUGAGAUAAUUCUAGGCUAGAUUUGUGUAUAUUAAUUGGGGAAUUGGUGAAACCCCUACAUAAGAAAAUCUUUUCAAAAGUCAUCUUUGCUGCCACCUUUGCUACUUAUUGUGUUCAUAUUUACAUAUUUUUUUAGGGAUUGUAUAUAAGAUGUACGUGAUAAUUGAUGAUUUUGUAUACUUUGAUCAUUUUUGCUAUGAUAAUUAAAUAACAUGUUAGGAUUUCUGUAUUUUAUUAUUUAUUAUCUAACCUCUCAUGUCUUGCGGAAGCACAUUACAAAUUAUCUAUACUAUCUAGGUACGCCCUCUAUCACCCACUUUCUAAAUUCUGUGAAUAUGCUUGUCAUUGUGAAUUGCACUUAUGUUUGAUAAUGCUUGGAUGUCUUGAUAUUUGUUACAAUGUUCGAUCAUUUAUGAUAAAAUACAUGCUGGGUGAAAUACUAUUCAAACUAACCAUUAAUGUUCUGUGAUAGUGUUUGAGAAGCAUAUCAGGUACAUACCUUAAAUCUUCUUUAUGAUUGUGAUUGGUUUUUUUGUUAGGUAUGCUUUUUUUGAAAUCACCUAUCCUACUUAGAUAUCUAUAAUUAACCAAUUAGUUGUCACAUAUCUCUCGACUUAGUCACUAGAGAACUUUAUAGGGCUUAGAGGGGUGCUACCUCCUAGAGGUACUUUCCCAAUAAGUAACCUGAUCCCCAAACCUAGACUCGGGUUUUUCAAAGACACGUUUUUCCAAAAACUAUGAAGUCAUUUUUUAGGGUUUUAUUUCUUAUUUUAUUUUCCCUUUAAAAUAAAAUAAAAUAAGCGGCGACUCCGACUUUUCCAAAACUGAAAUUUUUCACCAAAAUAAAAGUUUAUACCUUGUCUAGGCAUGAAGGAUUUAGUGUGGGAACCAGCGGAGAUUUUGAACAAAUUGAAGAGCACGAACAAGGUAAAAACAUUUGAAUAUACUUGAUGGAAUUUCUGUAGCCAUGAUUCUGCAGAUUUUGUGUUUAUCUUCUUUCUAUUUGUUUAAUUCAUAAGCUUGUGGUUAUAAUAUUUCUUAUAGUGAUUUUUUUUUUCCCAUUAAAAAACUGAAGAAAAAUAUGUGACCAUGAAAAAUGAAAGGAAUCUUUGGGCUAAAAACAAUGGAAAGAAUCGAAUGUUGAAAAGCUGUGCAGCCCACAGGGUGGUUUAUUCUUCCCUUGCGAAUCAAGAAUCUAUCGCCUCAGAAUUAUCCCUUAGCAACUUUCCAUGAUGAUUUCAUGGAAUAUUUGUUUGAAAGUGUUCAUGUAAAAAGGAUUGGUGGAGAUUUUUUCCUGUUUCAAUUUCUUUCUUUUUCAUGCCGUGAACCUUAUCAGGCAUAUUUGAUUAUACAUCUUGAAAUCAUUGAAAAUAGGGUGUGUCUCAAUUCUCAAAUGAAGUCUGAAAAAUUAUAGACAUAAAGUGUAUUCAUUUAACAAAACAUGGAUGGGUUUCUUUUUGAAGUUGUCAAUAACAACAGAUAUAAUUUCAUAAUUGAUAUGUGAAAACUCUUUAAAGAAGGCUAAUUUAACGUUAACAAGUUUAAAAACAUUUGGUAGGGAAAAAGGAUGAAUGCUUUUACGUGAUAGAGCUCGUGGGUCGCCUCUUUUACUAAGUGGGGCUUAGACAUGGCUCAGACCCAUCCAUGCGAUAGCAUUUAGUUUUGAUUCUCUGGUUUCUCCUCUUUUUUCUUUUCUUUUGGAAUGCAACUGGAUUUUUAUUCCUCAAGAUGGGCAGUCAUGCAACUGGAUUUUUAUUCCCUUUUAGCCUUUGGAUAUGCUAUGUAUAAAUACACAUAUGUAUAGAAGACCCAAAUCAUAACCAAAUAACAUCAUUCCAUUGGCUUCAAGUUAACAAACUCCAUUUUGUGCUUCCUCGAUGUCUUCGACAACUACUAAUCACGAUGCAGAAGAACCCCCCCCAGUUGCAGGUAGUAUAUUUGUUUUCCCAGGCUUCUUAAAGUUCAUCUCUCUCUCUCAUGCGUUGCCAUCCUGCUCUCACUUGUACAGAGGAAGGAUGGCAAGAUGAAGGCUACGUUUAAUCCCAGACAGCUGAACGUUAGCUGGGGCAGAGACAGCCGCUACUGGAAGAUGCCAGGAAAGUGAGGGUCCUUUUGUCUAUUCUUUGAGUUAUUUUUAUUUCUGAUUAGGGUCGAACUAUGGUUUUGAAAACAAAGUAUGCUAGUGUCACUAAUUUAAGGACCACUAUAGGCUGAGACUCAGAAAGAAGCAAUAAGACUCUGUGGGUUUUAGACAUCGCUGCUUGUGUCUGGUUGAUGCUCAUUUUUGUAAUUGAUUGUUGGGGUAGGUAAGAGGGAGGAUUAUUUGAUUAUAUCUUACCCCCUAGGGCUUACCCACUUUUCUUUCCUUUUAGCUCCUCCAAAGGGUUUCUCUGCUUGAAUAAUAUCAGUUUUGGAGUCGAAGCCCUGAUCCAAAGUUGACUUGUGAAUUCAAAGUCUAAAACUGGAUUAUUAUUAUUAUUUUUUUUAAAAAAUAGGGCUUUGUGGGUUUUCCUAAUAUUUCCAACAGAUAUCAGUAUAAUCGUAGAAUUUGCAGGUGAUGUGGCAAGUCAACAUAAUCUAAACGUCUACCCACCAUUUGCAGGGGCAGCAACCGUCCUGCAGAACUAUUGCGGGUAUGCUGGCUUGAAGUGAGCGGUAGUGUCCCCAUAGGCAGCGUACCACCUGGAACCAAGUACAGAAUUACCUUCCAAAUAUCCUUGAAAUCCGAUGCAUUUGGAUGGAAUGACUGUCCCGUUUAUGUGAUGGCUAAGUUUGGGAAGGAAGGAAAGAACAGUUGGAAGAAAAUAUCGCUGCAAGCUCACUAUUCAGAGCCAACCAGUAUCCCCUCAACUGAGGGCCUAGAGAUUGAAACCGAAGAUGCAAAUGAUACCAUUUACUUUGGCCUAUAUGAUAUAUGGACUGGGCACUGGAAGGGAGGAUUACAACUUCAUAAUGCCACGGUUGAACAAAUCAAUAAUAUACGGUAAUGGGCGGCAGUACCCAGAAAACAUUAAUAUGUGUUUGUGCGUGUCUGUGUGCAGCUUGCACAUUCAAGAGUAUGGCUUAUAUCAUAGGUAUUAAGGAUGCUG